rnacentral:rRNA from 1 species
UACAGAGGGUGCGAGCGUUAAUCGGAUUUACUGGGCGUAAAGGGCGCGUAGGUGGUUGCAUGAGUGUGAUGUGAAAGCCCCGGGCUUAACCUGGGAAGCGCAUCGCAAACGAUGUGACUGGAGUAGAUGAGAGGGUGGCGGAAUUUCCGGUGUAGCGGUGAAAUGCGUAGAGAUCGGAAGGAACGUCGAUGGCGAAGGCAGCCACCUGGCAUCAUACUGACACUGAGGCGCGAGAGCGUGGGGAGCGAACAGG